rnacentral:rRNA from 1 species
GACGAACGCUGGCGGCGUGCUUAACACAUGCAAGUCGAACGAUGAAGAAAAGAAUCGAAGCUUCGGCAGAAAUUCAUUUCGGAUUAGUGGCAGACGGGUGAGUAACGCGUGAGCAACCUACCUCUUACAAAGGGAUAGCCUCGGGAAACCGGGAUUAAUACCAUAUAACAUUGCGACGAAGCAUUUCGAUGCAAUCAAAGCUACGGCGGUAAGAGAUGGGCUCGCGUCCCAUUAACCGGAUGGUGAGGUAACGGCUCACCAUAGUGACGAUGGGUAACAGGCCUGAGAGGGUGAACGGUCACACUGGAACUGAGACACGGUCCAGACUCCUACGGGAAGCAGCAGUGGGGAAUAUUGCACAAUGGAGGGAACUCUGAUGCAGCGACGCCGCGUGAGUGAUGAAGGAAUUCGUUUCGUAAAACUCUGUUCUAUGGGAAGAAAAGGACUGUACCAUAGGAGAAAGCUCCGGCUAAAUACGUG